AUUGAACGCUGGCGGAAUGCUUUACACAUGCAAGUCGAACGGUAGAGGGGGCAACCCCUUGAGAGUGGCGAACGGGUGAGUAAUAUAUCGGAACGUGCCCAGUCGUGGGGAUAACGUAGCGAAAGUUACGCUAAUACCGCAUACGAUCUAAGGAUGAAAGCGGGGGAUCGCAAGACCUCGCGCGAUUGGAGCGGCCGAUAUCAGAUUAGGUAGUUGGUGAGGUAAAGGCUCACCAAGCCAACGAUCUGUAGCUGGUCUGAGAGGACGACCAGCCACACUGGAACUGAGACACGGUCCAGACUCCUACGGGAGGCAGCAGUGGGGAAUUUUGGACAAUGGACGCAAGUCUGAUCCAGCCAUUCCGCGUGCAGGAUGAAGGCCCUCGGGUUGUAAACUGCUUUUGUACGGACGAAAAGGUUUGUCUUAAUACGAUGAGCUCAUGACGGUACCGUAAGAAUAAGCACCGGCUAACUACGUGCCAGCAGCCGCGGUAAAGUG
rnacentral:rRNA from 1 species